rnacentral:rRNA from 1 species
CCUACGGGUGGCAGCAGUGGGGGAUAUUGGACAAUGGGGGGAACCCUGAUCCAGCGACGCCGCGUGAGUGAAGAAGUAUCUCGGUAUGUAAAGCUCUAUCAGCAGGGAUGAACACAAUGACGGUACCCCAAUAGCAAGCCACGGCUAACUACGUGCCAGCAGCCGCGGUAAUACGUAGGAGGCAAGCGUUAUCCGGAAUGACUGGGCGUAAAGGGUGCGUAGGUGGUUUAGUAAGUUGGCGGUGUAAUUCCGGGGCUCAACCUCGGCGCUACCGCCAAAACUAUUAGACUAGAGUGCAGGAGGGGUAAGUGGAAUUCCUAGUGUAGCGGUGGAAUGCGUAGAUAUUAGGAGGAACAUCAGGGGCGAAGGCGACUUACUGGACUGUAACUGACACUGAGGCACGAAAGCGUGGGGAGCAAACAGGAUUAGAUACCCUUGUAGUC